rnacentral:rRNA from 1 species
UACAGAGGGUGCAAGCGUUGUUCGGAAUUAUUGGGCGUAAAGGGCGCGUAGGCGGUGCGGUAAGUCACCUGUGAAACCUCUGGGCUUAACUCAGAGCCUGCAGGCGAAACUGCCGUGCUUGAGUGUGGGAGAGGUGCGUGGAAUUCCUGGUGUAGCGGUGGAAUGCGCAGAUAUCAGGAGGAACACCGGUGGCGAAGGCGGGAUCCUGGGCCAGUACUGACGCUGAGGAGCGAAAGCGUGGGGAGCAAACAAGG